AUGAUUACAUUGCAAGCUCGAGGAUGGAACAUGAGAAAGAAGAGCAAUCUACACGAGUACCUUUCUCAAAGAUAUGUCAAGAUAAUGAAAAGGACAAGAGAAAUGGAGCAGGAGGUAGAGGCCUUGAAAGUGGAACUGGGGAAGACUGAAGUGGAACUCCAGCAGUGGGUUACUGAUGUGAAGGAUUGGGCCGCAGCAACUCCAAAUGACAUCAGUCCUGAUGAUGCUCCUGGGUUACAGCGUGUCAUGGAAGGUUUGGCCCCAAGUAUCCAGCAGAAGAAAGUGGAUAAAUAUCGGCAGACUGACAGCAAUAAGGCCAGGCAGCGCAUUCAAACAAAGAUUGCAAAGGACAAAACUAAAUUAAGCCAAGCCAUGGACUUCUACAACAGGCUUGUCUCUGCUGAAGAUGCUGUUGGUCCAGUUGAUGUCAUCCUGGCUGCAGAGUGUCCUUUAUGGCCAUGGGAUAUGGAAGCAUAUAUGUAGCAAAAUUCAAAUGGCAAUGCAAUUUGG
rnacentral:lncRNA from 1 species